ACUUCAAGCCAUCGACUCACUGAUAAAUGAAGACGAUGAGCGAUCAGCAAAGGCCAUCAGGAAUCUGCUGGCAUCACCGCACAACAUCGCUCAAAUCAGUCAGAAGAAGACAGUUGAAGAAACCUGCAUGGAUUUAUGGAAAGGCUCGGUAUCAUGGCUUGAGAUUUCUUUGAGGAAUAAAUCAGCAAGAGAUAUGUCAGAGAGGUGUUCCUGGGACCACAUCGUUUCUUUCAAGGCCAAAUGUUGUUUUUUUUCUCCAAAUGCAGGCAAUGACCCAAAACACUGCCGCCCGGGUUUGCAUUGCAAAUGAGGGCAUAAACUGGGUCAAGAGUCUCCUGAUUUAGACCCGAUCGAACUUGUUUGGUAUCAACUGAAAACAUUCAUCCGUAACUCUGCCAAGCCGACAAGCAAAGAUCAAGAUGUUUUGGCUUGAGAAAUUGACGAUACAACAACUCAACAAAUACAUUGAUCAUCUGAGCAAGGUUUUACCCGUGGUCCUGGAGCUGGG